rnacentral:rRNA from 1 species
GUCCCGCAACGAGCGCAACCCUUGCUCUUAGUUGCCAUCAUUCAGUUGGGCACUCUAAGGGGACCGCCGGUGACAAACCGGAGGAAGGUGGGGAUGACGUCAAGUCAUCAUGGCCCUUACGACCUGGGCUACACACGUGCUACAAUGGGCGGUACAGAGGGCUGCAAACUCGCGAGAGCAAGCCAAUCCCUUAAAACCGUUCGUAGUCCGGAUUGGAGUCUGCAACUCGACUCCAUGAAGUCGGAAUCGCUAGUAAUCGUGGAUCAGCAUGCCACGGUGAAUACGUUCCCGGGCCUUGUACACACCGCCCGUC